UACGUGGGGGGCAAGCGUUGUUCGGAAUUACUGGGCGUAAAGGGCUCGUAGGCGGCCAACUAAGUCGGAUGUGAAAUCCCAGGCUCAACUUGGGAACUGCAUCCGAUACUGGAUGGCUUGAAUUCGGGAGAGGGAUGCAGAAUUCCAGGUGUAGCGGUGAAAUGCGUAGAUAUCUGGAGGAAUACCGGUGGCGAAGGCGGCAUCCUGGACCGACAUUGACGCUGAGGAGCGAAAGCUAGGGGAGCAAACGGG
rnacentral:rRNA from 1 species